rnacentral:rRNA from 1 species
UACGUAGGGGGCUAGCGUUGUCCGGAAUCAUUGGGCGUAAAGCGCGUGUAGGCGGUCCGGUAAGUCCGCUGUGAAAGUCGGGGGCUCAACCCUCGGAUGCCGGUGGAUACUGUCGGGCUUGAGUACGGAAGAGGCGAGUGGAAUUCCUGGUGUAGCGGUGAAAUGCGCAGAUAUCAGGAAGAACACCCGUGGCGAAGGCGGCUCUCUGGGACGGUACUGACGCUGAGACGCGAAAGCGUGGGGAGCAAACAGG